rnacentral:rRNA from 1 species
ACGAACGCUGGCGGCGUGCCUAACACAUGCAAGUCGAGCGGGGAUUUAAGUGGAAGUUCUUCGGAAUGGAGAUUUAAAUUCUAGCGGCGGACGGGUGAGUAACGCGUGAACAAUCUGUCCCGGACAGGGGGAUAACACUUGGAAACAGGUGCUAAUACCGCAUAAGACCACGGCCUCGCAUGGGGCUGAGGUAAAAGGAGCAAUCCGGUUCGGGGUGAGUUCGCGUCCGAUUAGCUAGUUGGUGAGGUAACGGCCCACCAAGGCGACGAUCGGUAGCCGGCCUGAGAGGGUGAACGGCCACAUUGGAACUGAGAGACGGUCCAAACUCCUACGGGAGGCAGCAGUGGGGAAUAGUGGGCAAUGGGCGAAAGCCUGACCCAGCAACGCCGCGUGAGGGAAGAAGGUUUUCGGAUUGUAAACCUCUGUCCUAUGGGACGAAGGAAGUGACGGUACCAUAGGAGGAAGCCCCGGCUAACUACGUG